UACGAAGGGGGGCUAGCGUUGUUCGGAAUUACUGGGCGUAAAGCGCACGUAGGCGGCUUUGUAAGUUAGAGGUGAAAGCCCGGGGCUCAACUCCGGAAUUGCCUUUAAGACUGCAUCGCUUGAACACGGGAGAGGUGAGUGGAAUUCCGAGUGUAGAGGUGAAAUUCGUAGAUAUUCGGAAGAACACCAGUGGCGAAGGCGGCUCACUGGACCGUUGUUGACGCUGAGGUGCGAAAGCGUGGGGAGCAAACAGG
rnacentral:rRNA from 1 species